rnacentral:rRNA from 1 species
UACGGAGGGUGCGAGCGUUGUCCGGAAUCAUUGGGCGUAAAGGGCGCGUAGGUGGCCCGGUCAGUUCGUGGUGAAAGCGCGGGGCUCAACCCUGCGUCGGCCAUGAAUACUGCCGCGGCUGGAGCACUGUAGAGGCAGGCGGAAUUCCGGGUGUAGCGGUGGAAUGCGUAGAGAUCCGGAAGAACGACCGGUGGCGAAGGCGAACAUCCUGGACCGGUAUUGGACGCGUGAGGCGCGAAAGCCAGGG